AAGGUUUUAGUGCAAUUCCUCAUGCUCUGCAUAAGCUUCAGGUAGUCAAAUUCCAAAAUUUAAUUUAUGAAUUAUAGAAUUAAGAAAGAGUUCUCAAUACAAAAGUUUUGGUAAAUCUAAAAGCUGAAAUUUGUCUAUCAUGCUGGGUGUUAUUCAUGCUCCUCCGACGACUUCUGGGUCUCUUUCGAUCACUCUCACACAUCUAAGUCGCCAUUGAAUGGAACGAAUGUUGUGGUCCACAAGAAUGGAACGAAUGGAACGAAUUCUGGCGAAUGGAACGAAUUUUGUGGUCCACAAGAAUGGAACCAACGGAACGAAUGAAACGAAGGGACUUCGAGAUUUUCCGGCGAAUUCUGCCAUUGAAUGGAACGAAUGCUGUGGUCCACAAGACUUUCAGAUGGAAAUUGUUGAUGUGAAAGACUGGUGAUUUGUUUUUGGAAACACCAUCCCUAAAUGAAGAUGUUAUCUCUCUUUACCGAAGGUCAGUAAAAUUUAUCCUCGCAUUAAUUUUCAUGUUCACAAUGAUUUAGCCUAAAAAUUCUUGUUACUUGAUUUUUUCAGGUAAAUAGUGAAAAAAAUCUGGCUUUGUUUUGAAAAGAAUGAUCUAUAUAAAUUGAAUCCACUGUUGGACGAGAAAUUUUAAGGUUUUGUGGAGACUUGUAGGAACUUGUGAUGAAUUGACAAUGGAUUGUUCAAUGAAGUCUUCUUUUUUAUUGUCUGAAAUUUCUAUUUACUUUGCUAGUAAUGCACAAUUUUUGUUCUUUUUAUUGCUUUCAAGUUCAAGCAAGCUUUCCUAGUAAUAUGAGCAACAGAUGCUUGAGUAUUAAAAUGAUAUAGCAGUUGAAGCUAUGGGAGUCUUAAUGUUAACAUCUUUUGCCAUGGACUUGAGAGUUACUGAUGAUGCAAAAUAGCUUAACAUACAGGUCGUUUAUAUAUAAGGAGGGUAAUUAAGUCUUUAUCCAACUUAAGUAACAGAGUUAUGACAGAAAGCAGUUAUUCACUUCAACUCAAAAAGUCGGGAGUUUAAAUGUAGCUUUACUGACUAUAGGUGGUUAAGUGGAAAACCGCUCAAACCCUAGGUGGUCAUCUGAACUUAACCCUUCUUUUUAUUAAAAACACAACGUUAAACUAUGUCAUAAGGACUUGGCACGGCGUUAUGACACAUGCACAACGCUCGCUCAACCUCCGAGUACAUAGCAGCUUAGCAUUGGGCUUCUAAACCUUUGGGCGCUGUCGCGCCCAUUUUUGCAUUGCAAGCGGCGCUGCCACCCCGACCAAACAACUCACAUUCUGCAAGUGACGUCAGCAAUCUUGAAUUUUUUGAUUUCGUCGCACCUACUUUGCAACAUCAUAGUUCGCUCAUCCGAUAUCGGAGUGAGUCCGUUCUUGAGCCAUUUUCUUGUUUGCAACAUUUUCUACAAUUUUCUCCGGACAAAAUAAUUAAACCAAAAGGUAACACUAACCACUCAUAUAAACCAUACUUCGUUUUAAAAGCAGUUUUUCUUCACCUCCUUUCAUUCUAAUUUGAUGAUACCCACUUUUUAAGCCAAUUUUAGAAAACACACGAGAUUCAUGCAAUUCAUCUAAUAUAUCAUUUAAGCGAGGAAUAGGAUGUCGAUACUUUACCGUAGUGUUAUUUACCGCUCGACAAUCAAUGCACAUGCACCAUUUCCCAUCCUUCUUAGGUACCAAAAUCACCGGAAUUGCACACGGACUCAUGCUUUCUCUCACGAACCCUUUCUCCAUUAGUUUUCCAACUUGCUUUUGCAACUCCUUUGUUUUCUCAGGAUUGCUUCGAUAAGAGGGUCGGUUAGGAAUGGUAGCACUGGGUACGAAGUCAAUUUGAUGCUCUAUUCUCCGAAUAGGUGGUAAACCUUAUGGAAGCUCCUCAGGAAAUAAUCCUGCAAAAGAGAUACAAAAACACUAGGCAAAGAAGAGUUAAUCUGGUUAGUAUUUAAAAACGCGUCCUUAUACCUUAGUAUAAUCAUCGGUUGUUUAGAAAUUAAAGCCCUCCUCAAAUCACUUUUUUUUUGCAUAGAUACUUGUUUUUCUCUCAUCUUUCUUUUUCUCUCUUAUUUUUCCCCUCAUUAUUUUUCCCUCCUUAUUUUUCUUCUCCAUUCUGUUUUACAUGAUCAUUUUGUAAAUGCAAUUGAUCUUCAUGCACUUGCUUUAGUGUUAUAGGACAAAGAGUAACUUUCCGUUGAUUGUGCACAAAUGAGUAUUCGUUCGUAAAGCCAUCAUGUUUCACGCGCUUGUCAAAUUGCCACGGCCUUCUAAGUAACAAAUGAUCUGCCUGCAUUGGAACCACGUCGCACAAUACUUCGUCAACUUAUUUACCAAUAGUAAAUGAAACCAAUACAUGCUUAGUCACUUUCACAUCACCACUGUCGUUGAGCCAUUGCAAUCGAUACGGUUGAGGAUGCUUGGUUGUUGGCAGCCCUAGCUUUUCCCCCAUCGUAGUACUCACCACAUUGGUACAACUCCCACCAUCAAUGAUCACGCAACAAAUUUUCCAAUGAACAAGACGUCUAAUGUGAAAGAGGUUUUCUCGUUGCUCCAUGUUUUCUUCCUUCACUUGUGUACUAAGAGCUCUCCUAGUAACCAACACUGCAUCGUGAAUAGUGACCUCCCUCUCAUCUACCUCCAACGGCGGCAUAGAAUCAGUGUCACUAUCAUCACCCUCGGUCUCCACCUCACCAUUGUCAAGUAACAGCAUAGUCCGUUGAUUUGGACAUUGAUUUGAAAUAUGGCCCCUGCCUUGACAUUUAAAGCAUCUAAUAUCAAGAUUACGACUAAAAGAAGGUUUAGUUUUACCUUAAUUUACAUGGUUAGUCAUUUCCGGUUUUGGCUUUACUUUAGGUUUGUUCACGGCUGGCUUCUCCUUUCGCUUCACAACAUUGGGCUUCCAAGAUGAACCCGAAGUGGAAAUUGAUCGUUGGUCACCUCUCUUCUUGAGUUGCUUCUCUAUUUGCAUGACAAUGUGUACCAUAUCUUCUAAUUCCAGAUAAUGUUGUCGCUCCACCAAAUUCACAAUCUCCCAAUUUAAGCCUGCUGAAAAUAGGUCUUGGCUCUACUUUAGGUUUGUUCACGGCUGGCUUCUCCUCUCGCUUCACAACAUUGGGCUUCCAAGAUGAACCCGAAGUGGAAAUUGAUCGUUGGUCACCUCUCCUCUUGAGUUGCUUCUCUAUCUGGAUGGCAAUGUGUACCAUAUCUUCUAAUUUCACAUAAUGUUGUCGCUCCACCAAAUUCGCAAUCUCCCAAUUUAAGCCUGCUGAAAAUAGGUCUCGGUGGUAAUGGCUUGGCACGAACCACUUCUUCAUCACGGUUUUCAUCUCCUUCCAAGUUUCAGUUGGAGGCUCUCCACAUCUCCUCCGGUUAGUCAUCAGCUGAUCCCACCAAGUAACGACAUAGUCAGAAAAUUUCGUGCCUGCAAGCUUGACUUUCUUAAGCUCCGAGUAGUUGUGGCAGUCAAACACCCACUCUAUCUUCUUUUCCCACUCCAAGUAUGCCUCAGGAUCACUUCUCACUUGAAAAGCUGUAAUUUUCAUUUUGAUGUUAUCCAAGUUGUUAUCCUCUCGAUUUCGAUCCCCUCUAUUCUUGCACCAUGUCUCCGAUGAAUAAAGUUGGAUUCACGGUUCUCCUUGCUAAACUUACCAUCAUAGUAAGUCGCUUCCUCUGCUCUAGCUCCUUUUAGCUGAGCUCUUCCUCUUUGAUGUGCACCAUGAGGGUUUUGAGAUGAUUCUCCUCGUGUAACGCUUAUCUGGUCAAGAUGCUCAUGCACCUGCUCCAUCGCCAUGCCUAAGUGUCUGGAAAAUUCCUUCAUCAUGGCCUCCAUCACAAAUUUUGGAUCAAAAUUCGUUGGGGACUCUUCAAAAACACCUUUAUCCUUUGAGUUAGAUAUAAUUUGUUGCAAAACAAGGGUUGGAGAUAAAAAAAUAAAUUUCUCACCACUCCCUUACAUGUUUCGCUCAAACAAUGUUUCACUCGUGUAUCACUCAAUUGGCUUUUACCCUCGAAUGAUCUCACAACUCUUGCCUUUUACCACUCAAAUAUUCUCUCUUAUAGGUUCUUUUUGAAUUCACCAAACAAAAUCACAGUUUACUAAUCAAUUCAAAAAUAACUUAUUAAGAACACAAAUAUAGCAAGAUAUGACUAUGGACCAACAAAAUUACGGAUUGAUCGUCUUGAAAUUUUUGAGAAAGCUUAUAAGGCUUGCAAAAAUUUAUAGGCUUUGUUUGAUUGAAAUUGUUGAAUGAAUGCUCGAAAUAUCGAUGUUGAAUUUGUUAGCAAGUAAUAACAAAUCUGAAAAUUUCUUUACUCUUUUUUUUUUUGCUCAAGAAUUCAAACAAGAAAAUUCAAAGAUCUAUAACUCGCUAGAAGACUUAGCUUUGAUACCAAUCAAUAGACUCCAUGACACACUUGCGAGAGGUGGUCGUCGCCCGAAUUGUUUGUAGCAAAAUUGUACGGUGGAACACGCUCGACACCUCAACCUUUCGUCUAUAUUGAGACAAGAACAUUGGUACAAUCGAUACUGUAAAGAAUUUGCGUUGAAUGGAACACCAACGACACCUUGACCUCAUGCUUAUAUGGAAGCAGGAACCUUGGUACAAUCAACAAUUGAUACGGUAAAAGACGCCACAUACAACUACGAAUUGUUGUAUGAUAAGUCAAAAUUGAAUGUCAAAGAAAAACUAAGAAUUAGCUCAAGAAUUCUUCAAAGAACCAAAAGAAGAGAAUAUCUCCAAGUAAUUGUAUUGAAUAAUAAAGUGUAUAUAUGAAUUACAUCAACCAUGAUCCUUAUUUAUACUAGGAAUUGAACUACUAAAUAACAAUCAAUUUAGAAUCAAAAUCCUAGCUAAAAGAAUCCUAAUUACUUUGGAAUUGAAAAAACUACAAAAAACAUAGUAGAAAUCAAUUUGUAAAGAUCUGAAAAUGCGUGCCUCGAAAUCCACGCGUGGGCGCUGCAGUGCCGGAAAAGGCCUAGAAUGGGCACUGCGGUGCAAAAUGUCAGGAACUCCCUGACUAUCGGGCACUGCGGCGCUGUUUGCAAUACAGAACUGUUUUGCCCCUUCUUCGAAUUUAAGGCCUGAAUUUGAGUCUUGGCUUGAACCAAUCAUUUGGACCAAGUUAAUGAGCCUAGAAUCUACCUCCAUAGCACACACCUUCGAUCCAUUCUCAGCCCAAACUUCUUGAAUUAGCCCGCUGAGUCCUUCUUUGCAUCUUUUCGCUCGUGCUCUCGUUACGGGACCAAUAGGCACUUGAACUGGAUCCGCCCACGUUUGACCUCCAUGACUCCCUUUCCUCUCUGAGCUAGGCAUGUCCUAAUCAGACAUUAAAGCUUUCACCCAGAUUUUAUUUUCCCUUUGAGAUCAUAAAAAGAAAUGGUCCAGUUACUUAUAGGUUUAAGUUACCUCUCAUUCCUGAAUUCAUCUUGUUUUCCAUGUAUCAUUGCUAAAGAAGAAACUGGGAACUGCUACUGUAAGCUCGACCUAGCCUACCACCAGUGGGAGAUGAGGGAAAGUUGAUAACGGAAUCAGAGAAAAUUCUUGAAAGAAGAAUGGUAAAAGAGCUUUAGUGAAAGUGUUGAUGCAGUGAAUCUCUUCAGCUCCAGAAGAUUCAAAAUUUAGAUGCAACUGAAAUUGAAAAGAAGUUUCCUAUUUUCCAGUUUUGAAAUUUAAGUCCCAGUUUUGUUAUAUGUACUGCUUAAUAAUGUACUUGUUUCUGAAAUUGAGUUGUGAUCCUUGACAAGGAUCUUAUGAGAUGGAUGCAAUGUUAUAAGAGUCUUUUAGACUAGGGUUAAUUAUGUCUUUAGGUAAGUCCUUAGCAGGGGUAUUUUGGUAAUCAAGGAAGAAAGUUUGUUAGGAAGUUGUUAAAAGGUGAAUUAUGGUGUUCUGUUGUCGUUCAUUGAAGUAAUAACAUAAAUUUUCCCUCUCUUGAUUCUCUCUCUCUGUCUUAAAUUCUUCUCUCGACAUGGAGCCUCUAAAUCCACACAACAUAUGAGGGCAGAUUAAUGUUGACCAAUAUAAAUGAGCUCACUACUGUGUAUGCAUUGAGGAUUAAUUUCCCACCCUCUAACAGCAAGGCAGAAUAUGAUGUUUUCGUAGCAACAAGAACAAUGCACAAGUGACGAGGCUAGAAAGCAUUAUUGCUUACAAAGACAAGUAUCAGCGCAACUCAAAAUGUGUUCAUACAUGGCCGUCUGAAUAAUAAAAUUGUUCAGUUUUGAUUCUUUGGUUAUUUGAACAUAAUAUAUGCUCAUUUGGCUUGAAUGAUAGAUGCCAGAUAAACGAUUAUACUUCUCGUUCUUAUAAUAUAUAAAAGCUACAACCAAUUUUGAAAAUGAUGAAAACUUAGCACAAGUGGUAUCCAAAUUGAAGGCCAUCAGGGGUAGUGCGCAUGAAAUCUUUAUUCAUCUUUUUUGCUGUCCGUAAAGAGAUUUUUUAUAAUCUUGAAAAUUUACCCAUUACUUUUGUCAAUUGUUUAACUGCAGGUUGUUGGUGAUGUUGCCAUUCAACUACAUGCAGGAACUCCUUUGACAGGGAUCGAGUUCGUCAAUUGAUUGAGCUCAAUUCACCGAGUUUCUAAUAAAUAUCCCUUGUGAAAGUCGGUUAUGUGAUACAAAAAACCACUGGGGUGUACUCUGCUUUCAACAUUUCUAGUGGCAUGCCCUUGUUUGCUUUCAGUGAAUUUAUUAUCUUCAUUCUUUUCUAAUCAGUAAUUAAACAAUGUUAGGGGGUGAGAGCCAGAAACAUCAAGAGACCGUACUAUUAUGGAUAUGGAUGCAGAAUUGGAUGCUAAUGUAAUUCCUUAUUCAAAAUUUGCAAAUAGCAGAUGCUGAUGCCGAACAGCUAAGUAAUAUUAUUUGUAUAUUCGUUUUUAAUGAACAUUAAAUUGUUGUUUGCCCCUUUGAAAUACUCCCUCCGUCCCUAAUUAUUUGCGUUUUAGAAGUGGGCACAAGAAUUAAGAUAAUGA
rnacentral:lncRNA from 1 species